rnacentral:rRNA from 1 species
UGCCAGCAGCCGCGGUAAUACGUACUGUGCGAACGUUAUUCGGAAUCACUGGGCUUAAAGGGUGCGUAGGCGGUCCAGCAAGUCAGAUGUGAAAGCCCCCGGCCCAACCGGGGAAUUGCGUUUGAAACUGUUGGACUUGAGUACGAUAGGGGUGUGCGGAACUUCCAGUGGAGCGGUGAAAUGUGUUGAUAUUGGAAGGAACGCCGGUGGCGAAAGCGGCACACUGGGUCUUAACUGACGCUGAGGCACGAAAGCCAGGGGAGCGAACGGGAUUAGAUA